CGCUUUUCAAGUACCCGUUCCUGAUGUUAUAUUUCUCCUGAAGGGCAAUAUUGAACUUCAAGCCGUUGGAAGUACUAAUUGAGCCUUCGCAGUAUGAUGACCUUUUGCAGAGCGGCACAUCUUCCUCUAAAUUAUAUCAAGCAACCAGGUACACCAUCUAGGGGAAAUCCGUGAAUCUGAAACAUGCAAUGAAACCAUGGG
rnacentral:misc_RNA from 1 species